rnacentral:lncRNA from 1 species
AGGGAGAAAAGCCCGCCCGAGGCGCGGUGCUGACGGUGGCUGGGCUGCCGGGUGCGCUGUGGAACCGCCUCCUGCUAGAGCAGCGGGCUGGCGACGGUCCUCGCCGGGGCGGGAAGCGGCUCAGGCUGCCCUCGCUGGCCUGCGGCGGCGCGGCUGGAAGCGCGGGCCACUCGUGCGUGGGUCACUCAGGACUGCGCCUCGCGCGACUGUGUGUGCAGGAAACAAGCAGGAAAUACCCUAAAAGAGAAUGAAGCGCCAUGUUGAGGGUCGCGGACGUCGCGAGUGCUGUGGGAAUGUGGGCUGAGGUGGAGAGUUAUGGUAGCCCGUGUUACAGGCUCAGGGGUCUGAAAGAAGCCUAAUCGUGGAGGCGGCAUCUGAGGAGGGUCUUGAAGGCUGGGCAGGCAUUUGCCCGACAGAGAUGGAGGAAGCUAGUCCUGUCUGAUGGAGGAAACAGGGCGGAGGCGUGGAGGGAGCCGUGCAGCGCUGGUGUGAGGAGCAGCGAGCAGGCCAGGCCUGUAAAGCAGAGUGAGGGAACCAGGAUAGAGAAGGCUGUACAGGAAGCAUGGUGAUGGCAUCUGCAUGGCGCCUGUGGAGGCCCCAGGGAGCUUUUACUCAUGAUGGAAGGCACAGAGGGAGUAGGCACAUCACAUGGUCCGAGGAGGAGCAAGAGAAAAUGGGAGUGGGGAUACUGCAUAGUGGAUGGAUUAGUCUGUGGUUCCUGGGAUCUUCUGUGUAUUCUGUUGAAGCUCAAUAAUCACAUUACUGCGGACCUCCAAAAUUUUACAAAGGACUGCAUACUCUUUGUCCUGGGAAGAGUUUGCUGCAUCUUCCAGUUUCAGUAAUCAAAGAAGCAAAGUUCCCUGCAGUUCUUCAAGGAACCUUGAGAAUUCAGAAGGUCUUGGGGUGGCUGCAUCCAUCCUGCAGACAAAUGCCAAUCAGCAGAGGGGCCAUUCCCAGGGACACAUGUCUGGCUGACUUGGGCCUUGGCCAGGUAAGACACACAGCAUGCAUGCCUGCAUUUCUGAAUGCCAUAGACCUGACAAGUCAUAAAAUAGCAACCAAUAAUUUUAUGUUAGAGUGCUCCCUUCCUCACAGAAAUCUCAGCAUAUGUGAAGAUAGGUUGGAAUGUGUAAAGAAAAGCUAAGAAAGCAGAUUUCUGAUAAGAACAGCGUGUGACUUGUACAGCAGCUCUGAAUUACAGCCCGUAGGAUGGAAUGCUGACAGUUCCUUCUUCCUUACCUGUGAUGGCUAGAAUUUUAUUUAGCACAUCGUUUUUGAGCCAAUCUCAAAAUGAGAAAACUUUUGAGGAAUUAUGCAUAGUGUGAAGUAUAUUCUUUCCCUUGUUGCCCGUGGAGAUUCCACUGUGACAGGGCAGAUUUCCCACUGCAGGGUCGAUGGAGAUGCUGCUGCUGUCUUUGGACAUAAUAGUUUAUGACAAAGAGACCAAAAUAAUUCCUGUUUAGCCAUGCGGUUGUCUGUAAAUCUGCUUAGUUGGUCAUCCAAAGUGAUGACAUUUAAGAUAUAGUUGAUACACUGUUUAUCUUAAAGAAACAUUUUAAAAUUAAUUCUUCAGACCUAUGUAAUAUUUUAUCUUUUCUGUUUAAUAAUAUCCAAAUGUGCUUUUGUGAAGCACAAAACACAUGUGUAUUUCUUCAUAAAUCAGUCAGAUAGCUUUGAAAAUAUAUUUCAAGUAUGUAGCAAAGACCCUCAAAACACAAUUAUUGAAGCAUUAUAAAAAGGUGAAUUUGCUUCAGUUUUGGACUUUUAAUAGACUUCACUGUUAUGUAGUAAAGAUAGAAAUAUGCCAUAAAAGUCUCUGGUUAAGAGCCAAGACUUUUUCUCCUGUAUCAUUUCAGAUCCCGUCAUUUCUACCUGAUCUUUAGGAUAGACUAUGCACAUUCAGAGUGUUGAGUAAAAUUAUUAGAAAAUAUAAUACCCAUAACAUGGUUCUUUAUACCCUUUAAGUAAAUAUGUUGGCACAUGAAUUCACAAUUUAAAACGCUGACUUUGUAAGAAAUUUGCAUGUGUCUCCAGUGAAGAUAUUGUUGCCCUUGUGUUCUUUGUGCGUGAUUUAUGACAAAAUUAUGAGACCUUUACAUUU